rnacentral:lncRNA from 1 species
ACCAACACUUCAACAGUCUUCUCCACCCAGCCUACCUCUAGGUUAAACCAACACUCACAGUCUUCUCCACUCCAGCCUCCUAAGUUAAACCAACACUUCAACAGUCUUCUCCUCUCCAGCCUAUCUCUAAGGUUAUCAACACUUCACCAUCUUCUCCACCAGCCUACCUCUAAGGUUAAACCAACACUCAACAGUCUUCCCACCCAGCCUACCUCUAAGGUAAACCAACACUUCAACAGUCUUCUCCUCGCCAGCCUACCUCUAAGGUUAAACCAACACUUCAACAGUCAUUCUCUUCUCCAGCCUACCUCUAAUUUAAACCAACACUUCAACAGUCUUCUCCUCUCCAGCCUACCUCUAAGGUUAAACCAACACUUAACAGUCUUCCCACUCCAGCCUACCCUAAGGUUAAACCAACACUUCAACAGUCUUUCUCCACUCCAGCCUACCUCAAGGUUAAACCAACACUUCAACAGCCUUCACUCCCAGCCUACCUCUAAGGUUAUCCAACACUUCAACAGUCUUCUCCUCUCCAGCCUACCUCUAAGGUUAUCCAACACUUCAACAGCCUUCUCCACUCCAGCCUACCUCUAAGGUUAUCCAACACUCAACAGCCUUCCCACUCCAGCCUACCUCUAAGGUUAAACCAACACUUCAACAGUCUUCUCCACUCCAGCCUCCUCUAAGGUUAAACCAACACUUUCAACAGCCUUCUCUUCUCCAGCCACC